GUUCCGCAGCUGCGCGCCAAAGGAACCCCCGCCAGCAAAGGAGGAGUGGCAGCAAAGCCUCAGGAGGUGGCGGAGCCACCGGAAUCUCUGAGAUGCGGAGGAUGAUGGCGCUGGAUUGGAGACUGUUGCUGCUAUUUUGUAGACAUUCUUUCUGUCACGUGGUCUCU
rnacentral:lncRNA from 1 species